UCGGCCAUAUACAGCUUAAAAAAAUACUCGGUCCUAUCCGAUCUCGGAAGUCAAACUGCUGCGCGCGUGGUCAGUACUGCGGUGGCCGACCACGCGGCACUUUUUUUAUCUAUUUU